GAGUGGCUAGCUUAUGGUUAGCCUUUUGCCAAGUGUAGAUAACUUGGAGAAUAAGUGGUGGGCAAGACCGGUGCCAGCAGCCGCGGUAACCCCGGCGCCACUAGUGGGGAUCACGUUUAUUGGGUCUAAAGGAUCCGUAGCCGACUCUUUAAGUCUUUUGUGAAACUGUUAGGCUUAACCUAACAACGUGCAAGAGAUACUGGAGAGUUAGAGACCGGGAAGAGGUAGAGGUACUCCUUGGGAAGCGGUAAAAUGUUAUAAUCCUUGGAUGACCACCUAUGGCGAAGGCAUCUAUCUAGAACGGUUCUGACGGUGAGGGAUGAAGGCUGGGAGAACGAUCGGGAUUAGAUAUCGAAAAUCCUGUAAGAAAGUUUUUCUGAAAUUAUUUUUGCAAGAUCGAAAACUACUUUGCAAAAAUUAAUCCAGAUAAAUCAGGUUUUUUCGACUAAAUACCCCAGUAGCCCCAGCAGUAAACGCUGAGAACUAGGUGUUGCAUGUUCUCCGUGAACAUGCAGUGCCGGAGCGAAGGUGUUAAGUUCUCCACCUGGGAAGUACGGCCGCAAGACUGAAACUUAAAGGAAUUGGCGGGGGCGCACCACAACGAGUGCUGCGUGCGGUUUAAUUUAACUCAACACAGAGAAUCUCACCAUGGGCGACGGCAGUAUGAAGGUCAGAUUAAAGGUCUUACCUAACGAGCCGAGAGAUGCUGCAUGGCCGACGCCAGCUCGUGCCGUAGGGUGUCACGUUAAGUCGUGCAACGAGCAAGACCUGUAUCCUCAGUUGCCACCGAGUGCUUAGGCAUAAUCGAGCACACUGAGGAGACUGCCUUGGUAACAAGGAGGAAGGCGCAGGCAACGUUAGGUCUGUAUGGCUCUAAUCUCAUGGGCUACACGCGCGCUGCAAUGGUAAGGACAAUGGGAUACAACUCCGAAAGGAGAAGUCAAACCUCUAAACCUUAUCCUAGUUCGGAUUGAGGGCUGUAACUCGCCCUCAUGAGGCCGGAAUUCGUAGUAAUCAGAUUUUAACAGAGUCUGGGUGAAUAUGUCCCUG
rnacentral:rRNA from 1 species